UCCCAACAUGCAGUCUUGUUUGAUUAACCAUUUAUUUAUUUAUUUUAUCUUUGUUGAUCUGUAAGAAUUGUGACUGUUGUGCUUGGCAAGGGGACUGGUGCUGGUGAUUUUUAGGUUGAUGAAGUCAUAGAAGCAGGUUUACCUGACCAGAUUGAGCGGCCACUUAAUUCAGGGGAAGAAAAAUAUGUAUUUUUGUUUCAGGACUGAGCAUAGGUUGCACUACCGCCAACCCUCUCCAGUUUCAGCUUCUUGUUGAUCAUAUCAUGGGGGCACUUAAGAGAUGAAAAGGUACACAUCAUUUGUGAACAGGAACAAGAAAUUCAAUUUGAUUUUCAGCUUGAUGGGACAAACAAUAGAAAGGGUUUCACAAUAGCUGAUUUA